rnacentral:RNase_P_RNA from 1 species
GCUAUAAAGUGGGCUAUCGCUUCAGUGAAAACUGGAGAGGAAAGUCCGGACAUUGCAGAGCAGCGCACUACCUAACAGGUAGGCAUUCCGCGUAAGUGGGGUUGACAGAAAGUGCCACAGAGAAUAACCGUCCUAUUUGGGAUAAGGGUGAAAAUGUAGUGUAAGAGACUACAAUAUGUUUUGGUAACAAAAUAUAUGGGUAAACCUUGCGCAAUGAAAUGCCAAAUAAGCAGGCGCUGGAGGGUUGCUCGCCCGAUGCCUGUGGGUUGGCAGAAUGAGGUAUUAUGCGAAUAAUAUCCCAGAUAAAUGAUAGCCGCUGUAUGAAAAUACAGUACAGAAUCCGGCUUAUAAUUUUAUAGUAAUU